rnacentral:ncRNA from 1 species
GUGUUGUAUAAAAGGACAGACGGUUAGCACUCCCCUUGAAAAGGACGGAAUGGCCUCUGGGCCUCAACACACAUACGAUUAAGGCACAGCCGCCUACUUCGCGGCAUUUGACCACAUUUUUAU